rnacentral:rRNA from 2 species
UCAAGUGAAGAAGCGCAUACGGUGGAUGCCUUGGCAGUCAGAGGCGAUGAAAGACGUGGUAGCCUGCGAAAAGCUUCGGGGAGUCGGCAAACAGACUGUGAUCCGGAGAUGUCUGAAUGGGGGAACCCAGCCAUCAUAAGAUGGUUAUCUUGUACUGAAUACAUAGGUGCAAGAGGCGAACCAGGGGAACUGAAACAUCUAAGUACCCUGAGGAAAAGAAAUCAACCGAGAUUCCCUUAGUAGUGGCGAGCGAACGGGGACCAGCCCUUAAGUUGUAUUGAGAUUAGCGGAACGUUCUGGAAAGGACGGCCAUAGUGGGUGAUAGCCCUGUACGCGAAAAUCCCUUUGCAAUGAAAUCGAGUAGGACGGGGCACGAGAAACCUUGUCUGAAUAUGGGGGGACCAUCCUCCAAGGCUAAAUACUACUGACUGACCGAUAGUGAACCAGUACCGUGAGGGAAAGGCGAAAAGAACCGCGGAGAGCGGAGUGAAAUAGAUCCUGAAACCGUAUGCGUACAAGCAGUGGGAGCCCACUUUGUUGGGUGACUGCGUACCUUUUGUAUAAUGGGUCAGCGACUUAUUUUCAGUGGCGAGCUUAACCGAAUAGGGGAGGCGUAGCGAAAGCGAGUCUUAAUAGGGCGUCUAGUCGCUGGGAAUAGACCCGAAACCGGGCGAUCUAUCCAUGGGCAGGUUGAAGGUUGGGUAACACUAACUGGAGGACCGAACCGACUACCGUUGAAAAGUUAGCGGAUGACCUGUGGAUCGGAGUGAAAGGCUAAUCAAGCUCGGAGAUAGCUGGUUCUCCUCGAAAGCUAUUUAGGUAGCGCCUCAUGUAUCACUGUAGGGGGUAGAGCACUGUUUCGGCUAGGGGGUCAUCCCGACUUACCAAACCGAUGCAAACUCCGAAUACCUACAAGUGCCGAGCAUGGGAGACACACGGCGGGUGCUAACGUCCGUCGUGAAAAGGGAAACAACCCAGACCGUCAGCUAAGGUCCCAAAGUCAUGGUUAAGUGGGAAACGAUGUGGGAAGGCUUAGACAGCUAGGAGGUUGGCUUAGAAGCAGCCACCCUUUAAAGAAAGCGUAAUAGCUCACUAGUCGAGUCGGCCUGCGCGGAAGAUGUAACGGGGCUCAAACCAUGCACCGAAGCUACGGGUAUCAUCUUAUGAUGAUGCGGUAGAGGAGCGUUCUGUAAGCCUGUGAAGGUGAGUUGAGAAGCUUGCUGGAGGUAUCAGAAGUGCGAAUGCUGACAUGAGUAACGACAAUGGGUGUGAAAAACACCCACGCCGAAAGACCAAGGUUUCCUGCGCAACGUUAAUCGACGCAGGGUUAGUCGGUCCCUAAGGCGAGGCUGAAAAGCGUAGUCGAUGGAAAACAGGUUAAUAUUCCUGUACUUCUGGUUAUUGCGAUGGAGGGACGGAGAAGGCUAGGCCAGCCUGGCGUUGGUUGUCCAGGUUUAAGGUGGUAGGCUGAGAUCUUAGGUAAAUCCGGGAUCUUAAGGCCGAGAGCUGAUGACGAGUGUUCUUUUAGAACACGAAGUGGUUGAUGCCAUGCUUCCAAGAAAAGCUUCUAAGCUUCAGGUAACCAGGAACCGUACCCCAAACCGACACAGGUGGUUGGGUAGAGAAUACCAAGGCGCUUGAGAGAACUCGGGUGAAGGAACUAGGCAAAAUGGCACCGUAACUUCGGGAGAAGGUGCGCCGGUGGAGGUGAAGCAUUUACUGCGUAAGCCCCUGCCGGUCGAAGAUACCAGGCCGCUGCGACUGUUUAUUAAAAACACAGCACUCUGCAAACACGAAAGUGGACGUAUAGGGUGUGACGCCUGCCCGGUGCCGGAAGGUUAAUUGAUGGGGUUAGCGCAAGCGAAGCUCUUGAUCGAAGCCCCGGUAAACGGCGGCCGUAACUAUAACGGUCCUAAGGUAGCGAAAUUCCUUGUCGGGUAAGUUCCGACCUGCACGAAUGGCGUAACGAUGGCGGCGCUGUCUCCACCCGAGACUCAGUGAAAUUGAAAUCGCUGUGAAGAUGCAGUGUAUCCGCGGCUAGACGGAAAGACCCCGUGAACCUUUACUAUAGCUUUGCACUGGACUUUGAAUUUGCUUGUGUAGGAUAGGUGGGAGGCUUUGAAGCGUGGACGCCAGUCUGCGUGGAGCCAACCUUGAAAUACCACCCUGGCAACUUUGAGGUUCUAACUCAGGUCCGUUAUCCGGAUCGAGGACAGUGUAUGGUGGGUAGUUUGACUGGGGCGGUCUCCUCCUAAAGAGUAACGGAGGAGUACGAAGGUGCGCUCAGACCGGUCGGAAAUCGGUCGUAGAGUAUAAAGGCAAAAGCGCGCUUGACUGCGAGACAGACACGUCGAGCAGGUACGAAAGUAGGUCUUAGUGAUCCGGUGGUUCUGUAUGGAAGGGCCAUCGCUCAACGGAUAAAAGGUACUCCGGGGAUAACAGGCUGAUACCGCCCAAGAGUUCAUAUCGACGGCGGUGUUUGGCACCUCGAUGUCGGCUCAUCACAUCCUGGGGCUGAAGCCGGUCCCAAGGGUAUGGCUGUUCGCCAUUUAAAGUGGUACGCGAGCUGGGUUUAGAACGUCGUGAGACAGUUCGGUCCCUAUCUGCCGUGGACGUUUGAGAUUUGAGAGGGGCUGCUCCUAGUACGAGAGGACCGGAGUGGACGAACCUCUGGUGUUCCGGUUGUCACGCCAGUGGCAUUGCCGGGUAGCUAUGUUCGGAAAAGAUAACCGCUGAAAGCAUCUAAGCGGGAAACUUGCCUCAAGAUGAGAUCUCACUGGAACCUUGAGUUCCCUGAAGGGCCGUCGAAGACUACGACGUUGAUAGGUUGGGUGUGUAAGCGCUGUGAGGCGUUGAGCUAACCAAUACUAAUUGCCCGUGAGGCUUGACCAU